AUGUACCACGCGUACUCUGGUUCCUCUGCGCCGUCCACACCCACCUGACGACUGCUCGCUACGUCUUGUUCGCC
rnacentral:sRNA from 1 species